rnacentral:tRNA from 1 species
GGGGAUUUAGCACAGUGGUAGAGCGCUUGCCUGGCAAGCACAAGGCCCUGGGUUCGGUCCCCAGCUCCG